rnacentral:rRNA from 1 species
CGUGGGAAUUUACCUUUUAGUCUGGGAUAACAGUUGGAAACGACUGCUAAUACCGGAUACGCCCUUUUGGGGAAAGAUUUAUUGCUAAAAGAUAAGCCCGCGUCCAAUUAGGUAGUUGGUAGGGUAAUGGCCUACCAAGCCGACGAUUGGUAGCUGGUCUGAGAGGAUGACCAGUCACACUGGGACUGAGACACGGCCCAGACUCCUACGGGAGGCAGCAGUGGGGAAUAUUGGACAAUGGAGGCAACUCUGAUCCAGCCAUGCCGCGUGAGUGAUGAAGGCCUUAGGGUUGUAAAGCUCUUUCAGAUGUGACGAUGAUGACGGUAGCAUCAGAAGAAGCCCCGGCUAACUUCGUGCCAGCAGCCGCGGUAAUACGAAGGGGGCUAGCGUUGUUCGGAAUUACUGGGCGUAAAGCGCGCGUAGGGGCUUGAUCAGUCAGAGGUGAAAUCCCGGGGCUCAACCCCGAACUGCCUUUGAUACUGUC